rnacentral:snRNA from 1 species
AGCUUUGUGCAGUGGCAGUAUGGUAGCUAAUGAGGUUUAUCCGAGGCACGGUUAUUGCUAAUUAAAACCUGUCAAAUUUGUCUAUAUUUUACUAGUCUAUAAACUUUUUACAAACCAUGUU